GUGUUGCUGGUAAGUCGCAUGAAAUUUAUUUCGAAAACAAAUCCAUCUCAAUCACUAAAUUAUCUUGCCAUCUUUUGUUAAUUUGUUAUUCUACAUUUGUAUUUUCAUUUAUUUCAGAUAAUAAAGCAAGAUGAGAGCAAAGUGGCGCAAGAAGCGUAUGAGGAGGUUGAAGCGUAAAAGGAGGAAGAUGAGGGCAAGGUCAAAGUAGACGUUGUCAUCGUUUAUUUUCAAAACUCCAAUUGAUGUGUUCAGCUGUAGACAAAGGUGUUGCAGCCAUGUGUUUAUUCCUAAACUCUUACAGAUGAUGAUGAUGAUGAAGAAAACGAUGAUGAUGAAUUAACAUGGUCACGUGAUCAGAGUCUUAGUUUGAUCAGGUACCAUGUUUUUGACUGAAAACAUGGCUGUUUCAACAACAAUAUAUGUUGUCAAGGAGAACCAACACGGACAUACAUCAACAGCAACACAAAGCAACAACAACAUUUUGUCAUCAGGGGUUCAACUUUGGGGACUAUUUUUUAAAGAAAAAGGAGGAGGAAGAGGAAGAAGAAUUGGUGUCUACUGCGUGGAAGUCUCCAUGGCGACCAGGCUAGGCAUCUGAAUGGUAACCACUGUUGAAGCUUUGGUGGCUCUCACAAUGAGAACAUAUUUUGUAAUAUCUUAGACUUAGUAAUGAUCCAAUUUAUCCAAAGACAUGAAAUUGCAUGGAUUGAAUUGUUCAGUUGAAGUUUUGAAAAUAUUAAAGAAAAAAAACAAAA